rnacentral:rRNA from 1 species
GGCCGCGGGAAUUCGAUUCAGGCCUAACACAUGCAAGUCGAACGGUAGCACAGAGAGCUUGCUCUUGGGUGACGAGUGGCGGACGGGUGAGUAAUGUCUGGGAAACUGCCCGAUGGAGGGGGGAUAACUACUGGAAACGGUAGCUAAUACCGCAUAACGUCGCAAGACCAAAGUGGGGGACCUUCGGGCCUCACACCAUCGGAUGUGCCCAGAUGGGAUUAGCUUGUUGGUGAGGUAAUGGCUCACCAAGGCGACGAUCCCUAGCUGGUCUGAGAGGAUGACCAGCCACACUGGAACUGAGACACGGUCCAGACUCCUACGGGAGGCAGCAGUGGGGAAUAUUGCACAAUGGGCGCAAGCCUGAUGCAGCAAGGCCGCGUGUAUGAAGAAGGCCUUCGGGUUGUAAAGUAAAGGCAGCGAGGAGGAAGGCAUUAAGGUUAAUAACCUUAGUGAUUGACGUACUCGCAGAAGAGGCCCCC